AUUGAACGCUGGCGGCAUGCUUUACACAUGCAAGUCGAACGGUAACAGGGUGCUUGCACCGCUGACGAGUGGCGAACGGGUGAGUAAUGCGUCGGAACGUGCCGAGUAGUGGGGGAUAACGCAGCGAAAGUUGUGCUAAUACCGCAUACGUACUGAGGUAGAAAGUGGGGGACCUUCGGGCCUCACGCUACUCGAGCGGCCGGCGUCUGAUUAGCUAGUAGGUGAGGUAAAGGCUCACCUAGGCGACGAUCAGUAGCGGGUCUGAGAGGAUGAUCCGCCACACUGGGACUGAGACACGGCCCAGACUCCUACGGGAGGCAGCAGUGGGGAAUUUUGGACAAUGGGCGAAAGCCUGAUCCAGCCAUGCCGCGUGUCUGAAGAAGGCCUUCGGGUUGUAAAGGACUUUUGUCAGGGAGGAAAUCCCUAGUGCUAAUAACACUGGGGGAUGACAGUACCUGAAGAAUAAGCACCGGCUAACUACGUGCCAGCAGCCGCCGUAA
rnacentral:rRNA from 1 species